rnacentral:rRNA from 1 species
GACGAACGCUGGCGGCGUGCUUAACACAUGCAAGUCGAACGGAAAGGUCCUGCGUUUGUUGGGUUCUCGAGUGGCGAACGGGGGAGUAACACGUGAGUAACCUGUCCUUGACUUUGGGAUAACUUCAGGGAACUGGGGCUAAUACCGGAGAGGAGCUCCUGCUGCGUGGGGUGGGAUGGAGAGUUUCGGCCGUGGGGGCUGGACUCGCUGCUUAUCAGCUUUUUUGUGGGGCAGUGGCUUACCAAGGCUUUGACGGGUAGCCGGCCUGAGAGGGUGAACGGCCACAUUGGGCCUGAGAUACGGACCAGACGCCUAUGGGAGGCAGCAGUGGGGAAUAUUGCACAAUGGGCGGAAGCCUGAUGCAGAAACGUCGCGUGCGGGAUGACGGCUUUCGGGUUGUAAACCGAUUUCGACUGUGACGAAGCGUGAGUGACGGUAAUGGGUAAAGAAGCACCGGCUAACUACGUG